rnacentral:rRNA from 1 species
AUUGAACGCUGGCGGCAGGCUUAACACAUGCAAGUCGAACGAGUGCCGGACGGGUGAGUAAUGCUUGGGAAUCUGGCUUAUGGAGGGGGAUAACGACUGGAAACUGUCGCUAAUACCCCGUACCAUAGGAUGAGCCCAAGUGGGAUGAGGUAGUUGGUGGGGGAAUGGCCGACCAAGCCGACGAUCGCUAGCUGGGCUGAGAGGAUGACCAGGCGCACCGGGGCUGAGACACGGCCCGGAAGCCUACGGGAGGCAGAAGUGGGAAAAUUUGCGCAAUGGGGGCAACCUGACGCAGCCAUGCCGCGUGAAUGAAGAAGGCAUUCGGGUUGUAAAGUUCUUUCGGUGAGGAGGCGUUAAUCACAGAAGAAGCACCGGCUAACUCCGAGACAGCAGCCGCGGUAAUAC